UGGGGAAUAUUGGGCAAUGGAGGGAACUCUGACCCAGCCAUGCCGCGUGCAGGAUGAAGGCGUUAUGCGUUGUAAACUGCUUUUUAUAUAGGAAGAAAUAGUCCUUGCGAGGAAAGUUGACGGUACUAUAUGAAUAAGCACCGGCUAACUCCGUGCCAGCAGCCGCGGUAAUACGGAGGGUGCAAGCGUUGUCCGGAUUUAUUGGGUUUAAAGGGUGCGUAGGCGGUUUAUUAAGUCAGUGGUGAAAGACGGUCGCUCAACGAUUGCAGUGCCAUUGAUACUGGUAGACUUGAGUAUGAUUGAGGUAGCUGGAAUGGAUAGUGUAGCGGUGAAAUGCAUAGAUAUUAUCCAGAACACCAAUUGCGUAGGCAAGUUACUAAGUCAUAACUGACGCUGAGGCACGAAAGUGUGGGUAUCAAACAGGAUUAGAUACCCAGGUAGUCCCUGAGCGGGCUGGCAAGGCGCAU
rnacentral:rRNA from 1 species